rnacentral:rRNA from 1 species
UACGUAGGUGGCAAGCGUUGUCCGGAUUUACUGGGUGUAAAGGGCGUGUAGCCGGGUUGACAAGUCAGAUGUGAAAUCCUGCGGCUUAACCGCAGAACUGCAUUUGAAACUGUUGAUCUUGAGUACUGGAGAGGCAGACGGAAUUCCUAGUGUAGCGGUGAAAUGCGUAGAUAUUAGGAGGAACACCAGUGGCGAAGGCGGUCUGCUGGACUGUAACUGACGUUGAGGCUCGAAAGCGUGGGGAGCAAACAGG